rnacentral:lncRNA from 1 species
ACUCAUGUUACCUGACUACCUUGGUGACUUGUUCAGGCAGGCAUGGUUGUUGGCACUAGAGGGGGUGUACUGUGGCGGCUCAACUAGUCGCCUAUUCGGUCCAGCAGAGGGCUACGCUCCUGAUUCUGAGGAGGUCUUUAGGUGGUCAACCUUUGUCAAAAACUUACUUUGUUCUCGGAUGCCUUCUCGAGCAAAUGUGCACGUGGUACAUCUGUCAGUAAAACCCCAUCUUGUAAAAUUGAACAAUUGUGUAGUGAUAUAUGUGAUUGAUUAUAUAAAUAAAGGAUAUUGUUUAGUGUGAAGUAUAU